rnacentral:rRNA from 1 species
AUUGAACGCUGGCGGAAUGCUUUACACAUGCAAGUCGAACGGCAGCACGGGGCAACCUGGUGGCGAGUGGCGAACGGGUGAGUAAUACAUCGGAACGUGCCCAAUCGUGGGGGAUAACGUAGCGAAAGUUACGCUAAUACCGCAUACGAUCUACGGAUGAAAGCGGGGGAUCGCAAGACCUCGCGCGAUUGGAGCGGCCGAUAUCAGAUUAGCUAGUUGGUGGGGUAAAAGGCCUACCAAGGCAACGAUCUGUAGUUGGUCUGAGAGGACGACCAGCCACACUGGGACUGAGACACGGCCCAGACUCCUACGGGAGGCAGCAGUGGGGAAUUUUUGGACAAUAGGGCGCAAGCCUGAUCCAGCAAUGCCGCGUGCAGGAAGAAGGCCUCGGUUGUAAC